rnacentral:rRNA from 1 species
CAGUUCGGAUUGUAGUCUGCAACUCGACUACAUGAAGCUGGAAUCGCUAGUAAUCGCGAAUCAGAAUGUCGCGGUGAAUACGUUCCCGGGUCUUGUACACACCGCCCGUCACACCAUGGGAGUCGGAAAUGCCCGAAGUCAGUGACCCAACCGAGAGGAGGGAGCUGCCGAAGGUGGAGCCGGUAACUGGGGUGAAGUCGUAACAAGGUACC